AAGGGGUGUAUUCAUUUUAUUCGACAAGACAAGACAAGACAACAUGAAGGCAUCAAUGUUUUGGCAGACUCUUCUGAAACCAAGACUCCUUUGUCUGCUGCUUCUAGUUUUAAAGAUAACUGGACUCAGUUCUGUUGAUACAGGACGUAGUGAUCCGAUUCAA